GCGGUUGUGGUGAAAUGGUAGACACGCAGCCUUGAGGUGGCUGUGGGGCAACCCGUGGAAGUUCGACUCUUCUCAACCGCACCA
rnacentral:tRNA from 1 species